GACCUGUCUGCCUGUAACUUUGCAAUUCCAAAGCAUCUUUGCAGAAUAGGGAGUUGCAUUACUGGACGCUGGUUCCCAGCCCAGGCCAUCUCAGAAGGGGACAUUGCUGUCAGCCCAGGCACUGAGGGUCACGUGACACUGCAACAGUUGGUGUGCACGUGUCUGUGCAGCAGGCACAGGCGUCUGUGGGGACAGCUUCCUUCUGGGCUGCUAGUGUGGAAUGACAGUUCACACCUGAACCAGCCGGCCCAGGACCUGGGACCCUGUACUUCCAAACUGGACACACUGGUACACAGGGAGGGAGUGUAGAAGUCUCCACACAUACUGCCUCAGAUAGACUAAAGGCUUGCCCUUCCCUCGAGGUGACCAUGGUGGCUGAAGGAAACGGUGACACAACUGUGCAGGUCAUGUCCGUCUGUGUCUCCUCACCACUGGCAUGGAAUACAGCUUUAAGGAGUGGCUGUCCUUGCAGUGUCAGGACUUUGUGGCUGGAAGCAUAACAUGAGGAAAGGAUUUCUUGGGACAUCGAACUCUGGCCACCUAAUGCUGCGGCUUUGUUGAUUAAUACCAGCUCUGUGGGCUCCUUUCCCCUGAUGACCUUAGAGGGUGGUGGGAAUUCAGUCUCAGAGAGGAGCUGGCACGAGUGUCACCUACUGGGUACUGUGGGGAGAAGGCCAUUACUGUUAAGUUAAAGCAUCUUCAAUAGGCAGCAUCCAGCCUGGGUGCAGUGUGGCCUCUGACAGCUACCCCCUGCCGACGUAAAUGUUUGGAGUUGCCAUGAUAGAAAGGAGCUAGAUUUAAAAGAGUCUUUCUUGGCCGGGCGUUGGUGGCGCAUGCCUUUAAUCCCAGCACUCGGGAGGCAGAGGCAGGCGGAUCUCUGUGAGUUCGAGGCCAGCCUGGUCUACAGAGCGAGUUCCAGGACAGCCCCCAAAACAAUACAGAGAAACCCUGUCUCGAAAAACCAAAAAAAAAAUAAUAAUAAUACUAAUAAAAGAGUCUUUCUUGGUACCCGAAGACAUCUAGACUUCAAUUUACCUUGCA